GUUCGGACCUACCUCUGUCACCUCUUCCUUUCGUCAGUUCGAUUCCUUUUUCGUCCUUACGGAAGGUCCUUGCAAUCUGUGGAUCCGGUAUGCCAUUUCAGAAGCCUAUCGCUGUAGGGUGAAGAUCCCUCCCUUCAGGGUUUUGGCUCAUUCUACCCAUUCUGUUGGGGGCAUCUUGGGCUCUCCAGAACAAGGCCUCGGCCUUGUAGAUCUGCAAGCGGCUACCCGGUCGUCUUUGCAUACUUUCUUGGUUUUACCGGGUUCAUACCUUCGCAUCGGCUGAUGCUAGUCUGGGCCGGAAGGUACUGCAGGCGGUGGUGGUUCAGCCAUCUGCCUAACCGGGUUUUCUUCUUCUCACCCAAGGGACUGCUUUGGUACGUCCCAUGGUCUGUGUCCCCCCCCCCCCCCCAAUGGAGCCGAUAGAGAAAGAUUUUACGGUAAGUUUAAAAAAAAAUCCUUUUCUCUAAGGAUCCAUUGUGGGACACAGCUCCCGCCCUUUUGGGUUUCUCUUUUGUUCUCUGUCCGAGGGUGAGUUCAGUUAUAUAUUUUUUUUUUUUCUGGUUCUCGGACAGUUCGUGUUUUCUCCUUGACCUGUCGGUCCUCUCAUUGCUCUGGAACUAAAACUGAUUAGCUCAGGGCCUGGAGGCGGGUAUAUCCUGCUGGGAAGAGCCGACUUUUUUUUUUUUUUUUUUUUUUUGCCAGUGUCAUAUCUCCUAGAGACAGCAGCAUACAUCCAUGGUCUGUGUCCCCCCAAUGGAUCCUUCGAGAGAUUUUACGUAUUAAAAAAAAAUUAAUAAAUAAAUAAAUAAAUCUCCUUUUUGGGACACGGAUGUCCCGAAUGGGCUGAUGGCGAACCAUGGCCGUGUGCCCACAGGGGUCUUGGCAUGCCACAGGUUCGCCAUCACUGAUUUUAGCGCAUGAUAGGAGUUGUAAUAUUGCAAUGGCUGCUGAAGUAUCUUUUGCAGGGUAUGUGUAUAGUCAUCCAGAUUGCAAAACUUCUAACAUGCCCUGGCAGCUGUUGGAUGUUGGGGUAUGCUAGGAGUUGUAGUUUUGCAGUACUGCUCUAGGGUACAUUGAUCCAAUACUGGUCUUGAUUUACUUACCUGGGGAGAUUUAUCGAAACCUGUCCAGAGGAAAAGUUGCUGAGUUGCCCAUAGCAACCAAUCGGAUCGCUUUCAAUUUUUCAGAGGCCUUUUCAAAAUUGAAAGUGAUCUGAUUGGUUGCAAUGGGCGACUUAGCAAUGUUUUCUCUGGGCAGGUUUUGAUAAAUCUCCCUCACCUUGUGUUUCUUUUUCUUGCAGGUAUCUUGCUCAAAUGCUAUUGGACGUAUUAUGAAUGAUGUCCAAAGUAGAGUUGUGGAUUGAGCCUUACAGAGCAAGGAUGAUGGCUAUGACCAAAGAUGCCUCAACACUGGACUUACAGGUCUUAUUCUGCAUGCUGAGGACCUAAACUAUGGACAUCUACAGGCGGUCUCUUGGAGGACCUGCAGAGAAUGCAAAGACAAAGGAACAUGGUCCUGAAUGCGUUGCUUAGCUGAACCUGGUCAGCAUAAUGUGGACACACAACUAGGUCUUUACUCUACAAGCUGAGGACUUGGGCCAGUUGUGACUUCUACAUGACAAGGCCUCUAAUGAAUUGCCUUGUCUCUGGAGGUGCAGCCCAUGAGCAAUUACUCAGUGUUCACUUAGUGACUGGAUGAUUGUAUGUGAGGUGCUGGAGAGAACCUAUGAUCCACUACAAACCAUCCCAUAUGGUUGAAAGAAAUGAAGAACAGAAUCUGUCAAGGAGCAGAAAUAUGUGUAAUAAAGUGGAUAUAGAACAUAAA